ACUACCAAAUUGAGACUUCCCAGCUGCAAGAUAGAUAUAGAGAGAAAUAUUAAGCAUGCAGAUUUUAGUUAGAUGAUUAUUCAGCAUUUCCUGCCUCCUUGAAGACUUAGGGAUAUUUUUGGUUUAAGAAUAACAGCUGCUAUGCAUACAAUAAAAGCUAAUAUAAUGCCUGGUUGAAAUUAAACCGCAUUAGCAAACUCAUCUCAAGCAUAUUCCACACAGGUAACAUGUGAAAACAACAGAAUG
rnacentral:misc_RNA from 1 species